ACAGCAGCAGCCGCGGUAAUACGUAGGUGGCAAGCGUUGUCCGGAAUUAUUGGGCGUAAAGGGCUCGCAGGCGGUUUCUUAAGUCUGAUGUGAAAGCCCCCGGCUCAACCGGGGAGGGUCAUUGGAAACUGGGAAACUUGAGUGCAGAAGAGGAGAGUGGAAUUCCACGUGUAGCGGUGAAAUGCGUAGAGAUGUGGAGGAACACCAGUGGCGAAGGCGACUCUCUGGUCUGUAACUGACGCUGAGGAGCGAAAGCGUGGGGAGCGAACAGGAUUAGAUACCCCCGUAGUCCCUGUCUCUUAUAA
rnacentral:rRNA from 1 species